rnacentral:rRNA from 1 species
UACGUAGGGGGCGAGCGUUGUCCGGAAUUAUUGGGCGUAAAGGGCGCGCAGGCGGUCUUCUAAGUCUGAUGUGAAAGCCCACGGCUUAACCGUGGAGGGUCAUUGGAAACUGGAGGACUUGAGUACAGAAGAGGAGAGUGGAAUUCCACGUGGAGCGGUGAAAUGCGUAGAGAUGUGGAGGAACACCAGUGGCGAAGGCGACUCUCUGGUCUGUAACUGACGCUCAGGCACGAAGGCGUGGGGAUCAAACAGGAUUAGAUACCCGUGUAGU